rnacentral:tRNA from 1 species
GCCCCUAUAGUUUAAUGGAUAGAAUAGUCCCCUCCUAAGGGAUAGAUACAGGUUCGAUUCCUGUUAGGGGUGCCA